rnacentral:sRNA from 1 species
UUGCUAUCUGCGAUAUGAACGAUUCGAACCUGCAGCAGGUUCGCACCGAACGUAGUGAGGCACCGGAGCCGUCAGGCGACGGCCCGAAGGGCAAGCGAAGCGAGUCAUCCUGCACGACCCACCA